CACAGACCCUAAGCCUCACGUUAAAAUCUGUAAAAACUGGUAAUCCUGGCCUGUUUUCGUUCUCCCAGGGCUCAGAGAGCUUGACCAUGUCUGAACAGAUGGGACAGUUUGAAUGAGAACAGCAUGCACUCUAGAGGUUCUCUGCAUUUGGGUGGCAGCUUUACAUACCAACAGGACGUUUGCCUGCAUUUAGGUUGGAAGCACAAGAGGCCUGCUAAAGAGUGCUCACUCACUCUCCAAGUAUUCCUGACUGCACUCGGGCAGUGAAAGUCUAGCUGAAGAGCUAUUUAAUAAUAAUAACUACAGCUUAAAUGUACCAAAUGCAUCAAUGUGCUGGGCACUGC
rnacentral:lncRNA from 1 species